rnacentral:lncRNA from 1 species
UGAGUGUAACUGAUGGCUUUUGAGGCUCAUCGCCUUCCGUUAUCAAAUCGAUUGACCCCUUGGGGUCCCAAUCAUCUCCAUUAUCGAUCAUAUUGAUGCCUCCACCCUUGUGGUCAGGCAGAGGGAUAUUGUGGACAUUGGGAGUGUGCUCCUUUGCUAUAAUGACCUUGUUAUCAAUCAGAUUCUGAAUCUUGUCUUUCAACGAGUGACACUCGUCGAUGGUAUGGCCUAUCAUCCUGGAAUGGAAUGCGCAAGUAUUGUUUGGGUUGAUCCAUUGAGAUGGAUUUUCUGGAGUUACAACUGGGAUAGGGGUAAAGUAACCGGCUGCUUUGAGUUUUUCAUAUAAUUGGUCAAUUGGUUCGGCUAUGGCGGUAUACUUUGGUCUGGGUCGAUGAAAGUUUUGGCGAGUAGGUGGUGACGGUAAAAGAAGGUUGGGAGUUGUAUGCUUGGUAUACAGGUGCGGGUUGGGAAUAUCGGGGUGAGGUAGGUUGAUAUGUG